AUGUAAGAAUAUGAAAGUGUACUGUUCUCCUCUCCCUCCCCCCCCCAAAAAAAAAAAAUAAAUCAUCAACA
rnacentral:tRNA from 1 species